rnacentral:rRNA from 1 species
AGUGAACGCUGGCGGUAGGCCUAACACAUGCAAGUCGAACGGCAGCACAGUAAGAGCUUGCUCUUACGGGUGGCGAGUGGCGGACGGGUGAGGAAUACAUCGGAAUCUACUUUUUCGUGGGGGAUAACGUAGGGAAACUUACGCUAAUACCGCAUACGACCUACGGGUGAAAGCAGGGGAUCUUCGGACCUUGCGCGAUUGAAUGAGCCGAUGUCGGAUUAGCUAGUUGGCGGGGUAAAGGCCCACCAAGGCGACGAUCCGUAGCUGGUCUGAGAGGAUGAUCACCCACACUGGAACUGAGACCCGGUCCAGACCCCUAGGGGGGGCAGCAGUGGGGAAUAUUGGACAAUGGGCGCAAGCUUGAUCCAGCCAUCCCGGGUGGGUGAAGAAGGCCUUCGGGUUGUAAAGCCCUUUUGUUGGGAAAAAAAAGCAGCAGGUUAAAACCCCGCUGUUCUGACGGUACCCAAAGAAUAAGCACCGGUUAACUUCGU